rnacentral:lncRNA from 1 species
UGAUCCCAUAGUUUAGUGGCUCUAGUGUUAAGAGUUCUGUGAAACAGUCGUAGUGAGAGGCCUCUUCCUCCAGCAAGGCUGAAUUUCUCUUCCUUCAGUUGCUUCCAUUUUCAUUUGUGUAGCAUACUCCAAAAGAAGGCUUUCAUUACCAUGCUGUGUCCCCCAGGGCUUUCCUUUCAUAUGAAUCCUACCAAUUGGAGAGAUGUGUUCUUGGAAGAUGCUUACAUGGCUCAAGAGCUUUAUCUGUCUUAGUAGCUUUCUCUAGUUGGGCAAGCUCUCUUUUUAUGGGAUGAGUAAAAUCAGAGGUGAUUUACAGCCUGCACUGAUAUAAUGUGACCCAGCCACGAUAAUCAUUCAUCAUAAUGAAUGAUAGAUGUAGUUAUUACCUUGUUUUAUUACCGUAGCAGCUAAUUCUGAACUACAUUUACUGUACAGGAUGAAUACCGUACACUGGAAAGAAGUCACCGGCCUUGUUGUAGUGGCUCAGAUGGACUUCAGAAGGAAGAAGAGCUGUCCUGUGCAUCAGGAGCAGGCUAUUUCACAAUGCGGGGGAAAAAAAUACUGUUCGUGUUUUUUGGAGGCUGAAGAAUGGAUGGAGGCCAAAGAAUGGAGGUUAAAAAAACUGGAAGCUGCAGAGUGGAGG